rnacentral:rRNA from 1 species
GAUGAACGCUGGCGGCGUGCCUAAUACAUGCAAGUCGAGCGAACAGAUGAGGAGCUUGCUCCUCUGACGUUAGCGGCGGACGGGUGAGUAACACGUGGAUAACCUACCUAUAAGACUGGGAUAACUUCGGGAAACCGGAGCUAAUACCGGAUAAUAUAUUGAACCGCAUGGUUCAAUAGUGAAAGACGGUUUUGCUGUCACUUAUAGAUGGAUCCGCGCCGCAUUAGCUAGUUGGUAAGGUAACGGCUUACCAAGGCAACGAUGCGUAGCCGACCUGAGAGGGUGAUCGGCCACACUGGAACUGAGACACGGUCCAGACUCCUACGGGAGGCAGCAGUAGGGAAUCUUCCGCAAUGGGCGAAAGCCUGACGGAGCAACGCCGCGUGAGUGAUGAAGGUCUUCGGAUCGUAAAACUCUGUUAUUAGGGAAGAACAAAUGUGUAAGUAACUAUGCACGUCUUGACGGUACCUAAUCAGAGAGUCACGGCUAACUACGUG